rnacentral:rRNA from 1 species
UCUUGGUCAUUUAGAGGAAGUAAAAGUCGUAACAAGGUCUCCGUUGGUGAACCAGCGGAGGGAUCAUUACUGAGUUACCGCUCUAUAACCCUUUGUGAACAUACCUACAACUGUUGCUUCGGCGGGUAGGCCGUCCCCUGAAAAGGACGCCUCCCGGCCCGGACCGGACCCCCCGCGGGACCGGACCCGGCGCCCGCCGGAGGAUAACCAAACUCUAUUGUAACGACGUUUCUUCUGAGUGGCAUAAGCAAAAUAAUCAAAACUUUUAACAACGGAUCUCUUGGUUCUGGCAUCGAUGAAGAACGCAGCGAAAUGCGAUAAGUAAUGUGAAUUGCAGAAUUCAGUGAAUCAUCGAAUCUUUGAACGCACAUUGCGCCCGCCAGCAUUCUGGCGGGCAUGCCUGUUCGAGCGUCAUUUCAACCCUCAAGCUCUGCUUGGUGUUGGGGCUCUACGGUCGACGUAGGCCCUCAAAGGUAGUGGCGGACCCUCCCGGAGCCUCCUUUGCGUAGUAACAUUUCGUCUCGCACUGGGAUCCGGAGGGACUCUUGCCGUAAAACCCCCCAAUUUUCCAAAGGUUGACCUCGGAUCAGGUAGGAAUACCCGCUGAACUUA